rnacentral:tRNA from 1 species
GCGCCAUUAGCUCAGCUGGAUAGAGUGUUUGACUACGAAUCAAAAGGUCGCAGGUUCGAGUCCUGCAUGGCGCGCCA